rfam:Lepisosteus oculatus unplaced genomic scaffold TNK229, whole genome shotgun sequence.
GGUAGUGUGGCUGAGCAGUCUAAGGCCCUGGAUUUAGGCUCCAGUCUCUCUGGGGGCAUGGGUUCGAGUCCCACCACUGCCA